UACGUAGGGGGCUAGCGUUGUCCGGAAUCAUUGGGCGUAAAGCGCGUGUAGGCGGUCCGGUAAGUCCGCUGUGAAAGUCGGGGGCUCAACCCUCGAAUGCCAGUGGAUACUGUCGGGCUAGAGUGCGGAAGAGGCGAGUGGAAUUCCUGGUGUAGCGGUGAAAUGCGCAGAUAUCAGGAGGAACACCAAUUGCGAAGGCAGCUCGCUGGGACGUUACUGACGCUGAGACGCGAAAGCGUGGGGAGCAAACAGG
rnacentral:rRNA from 1 species